rnacentral:rRNA from 1 species
UACGUAGGGGGCAAGCGUUAUCCGGAUUUACUGGGUGUAAAGGGAGCGUAGACGGCGACGCAAGUCUGAAGUGAAAGGCGGGGGCCCAACCCCGGGACUGCAUUGGAAACUGUGCGGCUGGAGUGUCGGAGAGGCAAGUGGAAUUCCUAGUGUAGCGGUGAAAUGCGUAGAUAUUAGGAGGAACACCAGUGGCGAAGGCGGCUUACUGGACUGUAACUGACGUUGAGGCUCGAAAGCGUGGGGAGCAAAAAGG